GCCCGGAUGGUGGAAUUGGUAGACACGCUAGCUUGAGGGGCUAGUGAGAGAAAUCUCGUGCCGGUUCAAAUCCGGCUUCGGGCA
rnacentral:tRNA from 1 species